GGUUAAGCGACUAAGCGUACACGGUGGAUGCCCUGGCAGUCAGAGGCGAUGAAGGACGUGCUAAUCUGCGAAAAGCGUCGGUAAGGUGAUAUGAACCGUUAUAACCGGCGAUGUCCGAAUGGGGAAACCCAGUGUGAUUCGUCACACUAUCGUUAACUGAAUACAUAGGUUAACGAGGCGAACCGGGGGAACUGAAACAUCUAAGUACCCCGAGGAAAAGAAAUCAACCGAGAUUCCCCCAGUAGCGGCGAGCGAACGGGGAGCAGCCCAGAGUCUGAAUCAGCUUGUGUGUUAGUGGAACGGUCUGGAAAGUCCGACGGUACAGGGUGAUAGUCCCGUACACCAAAAUGCACAGGCUGUGAACUCGAAGAGUAGGGCGGGACACGUGGUAUCCUGUCUGAAUAUGGGGGGACCAUCCUCCAAGGCUAAAUACUCCUGACUGACCGAUAGUGAACCAGUACCGUGAGGGAAAGGCGAAAAGAACCCCGGCGAGGGGAGUGAAAAAGAACCUGAAACCGUGUACGUACAAGCAGUGGGAGCACCUUCGGGUGUGACUGCGUACCUUUUGUAUAAUGGGUCAGCGACUUAUAUUCUGUAGCAAGGUUAACCGGAUAGGGGAGCCGCAGGGAAACCGAGUCUUAACUGGGCGUUAAGUUGCAGGGUAUAGACCCGAAACCCGGUGAUCUAGCCAUGGGCAGGUUGAAGGUUGGGUAACACUAACUGGAGGACCGAACCGACUAAUGUUGAAAAAUUAGCGGAUGACUUGUGGCUGGGGGUGAAAGGCCAAUCAAACCGGGAGAUAGCUGGUUCUCCCCGAAAGCUAUUUAGGUAGCGCCUCGUGAAUUCAUCUUCGGGGGUAGAGCACUGUUUCGGCUAGGGGGUCAUCCCGACUUACCAACCCGAUGCAAACUACGAAUACCGAAGAAUGUUAUCACGGGAGACACACGGCGGGUGCUAACGUCCGUCGUGAAGAGGGAAACAACCCAGACCGCCAGCUAAGGUCCCAAAGUCAUGGUUAAGUGGGAAACGAUGUGGGAAGGCACAGACAGCCAGGAUGUUGGCUUAGAAGCAGCCAUCAUUUAAAGAAAGCGUAAUAGCUCACUGGUCGAGUCGGCCUGCGCGGAAGAUGUAACGGGGCUAAACCAUGCACCGAAGCUGCGGCAGCGACACUAUGUGUUGUUGGGUAGGGGAGCGUUCUGUAAGCCUGCGAAGGUGACCUGUGAGGGUUGCUGGAGGUAUCAGAAGUGCGAAUGCUGACAUAAGUAACGAUAAAGCGGGUGAAAAGCCCGCUCGCCGGAAGACCAAGGGUUCCUGUCCAACGUUAAUCGGGGCAGGGUGAGUCGACCCCUAAGGCGAGGCCGAAAGGCGUAGUCGAUGGGAAACAGGUUAAUAUUCCUGUACUUGGUGUUACUGCGAAGGGGGGACGGAGAAGGCUAUGUUAGCCGGGCGACGGUUGUCCCGGUUUAAGCAUGUAGGCUGGUUGUCCAGGCAAAUCCGGAUAAUCAAGGCUGAGGUGUGAUGACGAGGCACUACGGUGCUGAAGUAACAAAUGCCCUGCUUCCAGGAAAAGCCUCUAAGCAUCAGGUAACAUCAAAUCGUACCCCAAACCGACACAGGUGGUCAGGUAGAGAAUACCAAGGCGCUUGAGAGAACUCGGGUGAAGGAACUAGGCAAAAUGGUGCCGUAACUUCGGGAGAAGGCACGCUGGUGUGUAGGUGAAGUCCCUGCGGAUGGAGCUGAGACCAGUCGAAGAUACCAGCUGGCUGCAACUGUUUAUUAAAAACACAGCACUGUGCAAACACGAAAGUGGACGUAUACGGUGUGACGCCUGCCCGGUGCCGGAAGGUUAAUUGAUGGGGUUAUCCGUAAGGAGAAGCUCUUGAUCGAAGCCCCGGUAAACGGCGGCCGUAACUAUAACGGUCCUAAGGUAGCGAAAUUCCUUGUCGGGUAAGUUCCGACCUGCACGAAUGGCGUAAUGAUGGCCAGGCUGUCUCCACCCGAGACUCAGUGAAAUUGAACUCGCUGUGAAGAUGCAGUGUACCCGCGGCAAGACGGAAAGACCCCGUGAACCUUUACUAUAGCUUGACACUGAACAUUGAGCCUUGAUGUGUAGGAUAGGUGGGAGGCUUUGAAGCGUGGACGCCAGUCUGCGUGGAGCCAACCUUGAAAUACCACCCUUUAAUGUUUGAUGUUCUAACGUUGGCCCCUGACCGGGGUUGCGGACAGUGUCUGGUGGGUAGUUUGACUGGGGCGGUCUCCUCCCAAAGCGUAACGGAGGAGCACGAAGGUUAGCUAAUCCUGGUCGGACAUCAGGAGGUUAGUGCAAUGGCAUAAGCUAGCUUGACUGCGAGCGUGACGGCGCGAGCAGGUGCGAAAGCAGGUCAUAGUGAUCCGGUGGUUCUGAAUGGAAGGGCCAUCGCUCAACGGAUAAAAGGUACUCCGGGGAUAACAGGCUGAUACCGCCCAAGAGUUCAUAUCGACGGCGGUGUUUGGCACCUCGAUGUCGGCUCAUCACAUCCUGGGGCUGAAGUAGGUCCCAAGGGUAUGGCUGUUCGCCAUUUAAAGUGGUACGCGAGCUGGGUUUAGAACGUCGUGAGACAGUUCGGUCCCUAUCUGCCGUGGGCGCUGGAGAAUUGAGGGGGGCUGCUCCUAGUACGAGAGGACCGGAGUGGACGCAUCACUGGUGUUCGGGUUGUCAUGCCAAUGGCACUGCCCGGUAGCUAAAUGCGGAAGAGAUAAGUGCUGAAAGCAUCUAAGCACGAAACUUGCCCCGAGAUGAGUUCUCCCUGAGACUUUAAGUCUCCUGAAGGAACGUUGAAGACGACGACGUUGAUAGGCCGGGUGUGUAAGCGCAGCGAUGCGUUGAGCUAACCGGUACUAAUGAACCGUGAGGCUUAACCUU
rnacentral:rRNA from 1 species